UGUCACGCCCUGCGACCAACCGCCUAUUUGGACCGGGUCGCGGCGCCGACGACAGACCGCCGAACGGACCGGGGAUUCCUUUGUACGCGGACAGAGUCUCCCCAGUACGUCCAAGGUGUCGCAAUCCAAACAAUCAACGAAUGUUCCAACUAGGAACGGAUAUCAAUCCAGAUUGCAUAAGGAAGUAUCAAAUACAUAAUCUACUUGCUAUUACAAGCAUUCAUUUCACAAUCACGUUAUACAUCACGGUUUCAGUUUAUAUUUUUACUUCCAAAUUACAAUCUUACUAUUACAUUAGAGUUAUCAA
rnacentral:lncRNA from 1 species